GUGGGGAAUUUUGGACAAUGGGCGCAAGCCUGAUCCAGCCAUUCCGCGUGCAGGAUGAAGGCCUUCGGGUUGUAAACUGCUUUUGUACGGAACGAAAAGCCUCUGGUUAAUACCCGGGGGUCAUGACGUUACCGUAAGAAUAAGCACCGGCUAACUACGUGCCAGCAGCCGCGGUAAUACGUAGGGUGCGAGCGUUAAUCGGAAUUACUGGGCGUAAAGCGUGCGCAGGCGGUGAUGUAAGACAGUUGUGAAAUACGCGGGCUCAACCUGGGAACUGUAUCUGGGACUGCAUUGCUGGAGUGCGGCAGAGGGGGAUGGAAUUACGCGUGUAGCAGUGAAAUGCGUAGAUAUGCGGAGGAACACCGAUGGCGAAGGCAAUCCCCUGGGCCUGCACUGACUCUCAUGCACGAAAGCGUGGGGAGCAAACAGGAUUAGAAACCCCAGUAGUCC
rnacentral:rRNA from 1 species